AUUGGACGCUGGCGGCAUGCCUUACACAUGCAAGUCGAACGGCAGCACGGGUGCUUGCACCUGGUGGCGAGUGGCGAACGGGUGAGUAAUACAUCGGAACGUACCUUAUCGUGGGGGAUAACGCAGCGAAAGCUGUGCUAAUACCGCAUACGCCCUGAGGGGGAAAGCGGGGGAUCGCAAGACCUCGCGCGAUUAGAGCGGCCGAUGCCUGAUUAGCUAGUUGGUGGGGUAAAAGCCCACCAAGGCGACGAUCAGUAGCUGGUCUGAGAGGACGAUCAGCCACACUGGGACUGAGACACGGCCCAGACUCCUACGGGAGGCAGCAGUGGGGAAUUUUGGACAAUGGGGGCAACCCUGAUCCAGCAAUGCCGCGUGAGUGAAGAAGGCCUUCGGGUUGUAAAGCUCUUUUGUCAGGGAAGAAGCACCGGCUCUAACACAGUCCGGGAAUGACGGUACCUGAAGAAUAAGCACCGGCUAACUACGUGCCAGCCGCCGUGUAA
rnacentral:rRNA from 1 species